UCAAAGACUGGGAACGGGAAGAGUAGGCGGUAAGCCCUUCAGAGAGCGGAAUUGCAAGUGCUGUGAAAUUCCGCAGGAUCCAGCCCCCGAAGUCGCCCCGGAGUCGCCCCUCUGAGCUUGUCUUUCAUUCUGUGGAAUCCAGGUUAGGAAGUGGCCGGUAGCAGCCGUUAUCUGUACGAGGUGUCGCACUGGGUUUCUGGCCUACUUUUGGGUCAAGAAGCGGAGUUUUAUUUUUCCAUUGGUGCGAAACAAAGGUGGUACCGCGAAAGAAUGGCCUUUCGUCCUUUGA
rnacentral:ncRNA from 1 species